rnacentral:snRNA from 1 species
CGUGCCUCGGCAUCAGCGUGC